rnacentral:rRNA from 1 species
UACAGAGGUCUCAAGCGUUGUUCGGAUUCAUUGGGCGUAAAGGGUGCGUAGGCGGCGCGGUAAGUCGGGUGUGAAAUCUCGGAGCUUAACCUCCGAAACUGCAUUCGAUACUGCCGUGCUUGAGGACUGGAGAGGAGACUGGAAUUUACGGUGUAGCGGUGAAAUGCGUAGAUAUCGUAAGGAAGACCAGUGGCGAAGGCGGGUCUCUGGACAGUUCCUGACGCUGAGGCACGAAGGUCAGGGGAGCAAACGGG